GUACUCACUUCUGUAGAACAUAUACUAAAAUUGGAACAAUACGGAGAUUAGCAUGGCCCCUGCACAAAAAUGACAUGAAAAUUCGUGAGGUAUUCCAUGUUUCC